UACAGAGGUCCCAAGCGUUGUUCGGAUUUACUGGGCGUAAAGCGUGCGCAGGCGGUUCGCCAAGUCAGGUGUGAAAUCCCCGGGCUUAACCUGGGAAUUGCGCUUGAAACUAGCGGGCUUGAGUGCGGCAGAGGGGGGUGGAAUUCCACGUGUAGCAGUGAAAUGCGUAGAGAUGUGGAGGAACACCGAUGGCGAAGGCAGCCCCCUGGGUCGACACUGACGCUCAUGCACGAAAGCGUGGGGAGCAAACAGG
rnacentral:rRNA from 1 species